GCCUCUGAUGAUGAUGAAUUUUUUUACUUUCGUUCUUCUGAAUUUCCUAUGUGGAAAAAAUAUGGAGACCUGAACUGAGAUGU
rnacentral:snoRNA from 1 species